rnacentral:rRNA from 1 species
GGGCAGAAGCAUAUCAAUAAGCGGAGGAAAAGAAACUAACAAGGAUUCCCCUAGUAACUGCGAGUGAAGCGGGAAAAGCUCAAAUUUAAAAUCUGGCAGUCUUUGGCUGUCCGAGUUGUAAUCUGGAGAAGUGCUUUCCGCGCUGGACCGUGUACAAGUCUCUUGGAAUAGAGCGUCRUAGAGGGUGAGAAUCCCGUCUUUGACACGGACUACCAGUGCUUUGUGAUGCGCUUUCAAAGAGUCGAGUUGUUUGGGAAUGCAGCUCAAAAUGGGUGGUAAAUUCCAUCUAAAGCUAAAUAUUGGCGAGAGACCGAUAGCGAACAAGUACCGUGAGGGAAAGAUGAAAAGCACUUUGGAAAGAGAGUUAAACAGUACGUGAAAUUGCUGAAAGGGAAACGCUUGAAGUCAGUCGCGUUGUUCAGAACUCAGCCUGGCUUUGGCUUGGUGCAUUUUCUGAGUAACGGGCCAGCAUCAAUUUUGACUGUUGGAUAAAGGCUGAGGAAAUGUGGCUCCUUUGGGAGUGUUAUAGUCCUUGGUUGCAUACAAUGGUUGGGAUUGAGGAACUCAGCAUGCCUUUAUGGUCGGGGUUCGCCCACGUUCAUGCUUAGGAUGCUGGCGUAAUGGCUUUAAACGACCCGUCUUGAAACACGGACCAAGGAGUCUAACAUGCCUGCGAGUGUUUGGGUGGAAAACCCGAGCGCGCAAUGAAAGUGAAAGUUGGGAUCUCUGUCGCGGAGAGCACCGACGCCCGGACCAGACCUUCUGUGACGGAUCCGCGGUAGAGCAUGUAUGUUGGGACCCGAAAGAUGGUGAACUAUGCCUGAAUAGGGUGAAGCCAGAGGAAACUCUGGUGGAGGCUCGUAGCGAUUCUGACGUGCAAAUCGAUCGUCAAAUUUGGG